rnacentral:rRNA from 1 species
GAAUUUUGGACAAUGGGGGCAACCCUGAUCCAGCCAUCCCGCGUGUGCGAUGAAGGCCUUCGGGUUGUAAAGCACUUUUGGCAGGGACGAAACGGACCUGACAAAUACCUAGAGAUGCUGACGGCACCUGCAGCAUCAGCCACGGCUGAUCACGAGCCCGCAGCCGGGGUAAUACGUAGGGUCCAAGCGUUAAUCGGAAUUACUGGGCGUAAAGCGUGCGCAGGCGGUUCGGCAAGAAGGAUGUGAAAUCCCAGGGCUUAACCUGGGAACUGCAUUCUUAACUGCCGGGCUAGAGUAUGUCAGAGGGGGGUAGAAUUCCGCGUGUAGCAGUGAAAUGCGUAGAGAUGCGAAAGAAUACCGAUGGCGAAGGCAGCCCCCUGGGAUAAUACUGACGCUCAUGCACGAAAGCGUGGGGAGCAAAC